UACGGAGGGAGCUAGCGUUGUUCGGAAUUACUGGGCGUAAAGCGCGCGUAGGCGGCUUUGUAAGUUAGAGGUGAAAGCCCGGGGCUCAACUCCGGAACUGCCUUUAAGACUGCAUCGCUUGAAUCCGGGAGAGGUGAGUGGAAUUCCGAGUGUAGAGGUGAAAUUCGUAGAUAUUCGGAAGAACACCAGUGGCGAAGGCGGCUCACUGGACCGGUAUUGACGCUGAGGUGCGAAAGCGUGGGGAGCAAAAGGG
rnacentral:rRNA from 1 species